UUAACACAAUAAGUAUCCCACCUGGGGAGUACGGCCGCAAGGUUGAAACUCANNNNAAUUGACGGGGGCCCGCACAAGCAGUGGAGUAUGUGGUUUAAUUCGAAGCAACGCGAAGAACCUUACCAGGUCUUGACAUGGGGAUGACCGGUGCAGAGAUGCACCUUUCCUUCGGGACAUCCCACACAGGUGGUGCAUGGUUGUCGUCAGCUCGUGUCGUGAGAUGUUGGGUUAAGUCCCGCAACGAGCGCAACCCCUAUCCUAUGUUACCAGCGGGUAAUGCCGGGGACUCAUGGGAGACUGCCAGGGACAACCUGGAGGAAGGCGGGGAUGACGUCAAGUCAUCAUGCCCCUUAUGUCUUGGGCUACACACGUACUACAAUGGUCGGCAACAAAGGGCAGCGAAACCGCGAGGUGGAGCAAAUCCCAGAAACCCGGCCUCAGUUCGGAUUGCAGGCUGCAACUCGCCUGCAUGAAGUCGGAAUCGCUAGUAAUCGCAGGUCAGCAUACUGCGGUGAAUACGUUCCCGGGCCUUGUACACACCGCCCGUCACACCACGAAAGUUGGUAACACCCGAAGCCGGUGAGGUAACCAGUAAUGGAGCCAGCCGUCUAAGGUGGGGCCGAUGAUUGGGGUGAAGUCGUAACAAGGUAACC
rnacentral:rRNA from 1 species